rnacentral:tRNA from 12 species
UUAUAGCUAAACCAGUAGAGCGUUGGUCUUCUAAAAGUCAAAGGUCGCCGGUUCAAUUCUUCCCA